ACCAGGAAGGAGCAGGGACAACUGCUGGUGAGGAGGUGGAGCAAGUGAAUAGCUACCUGUCUCGUGCCCUGACGACAAAGUACAUGUCGAAAGCAGCACGAGUGGACAUGCUUACAUUGCAUGCUCUGGGGUGGAACCACAAAAAAAGGACCUUUUUACAUCAGGCCCUUUCUACAAGAUAUGUAAAGACCUGUCAAAGACUGCUAGAUGAGACUGUAAGGCUAGCUGAGCUGAAAGCAGAGCUACAGUGCACUGACGAAAUGGCAUCACAGUGGAUGUCCGAGGUGACUGAAUGGGCAGCUGACAAGACACCUCAUACCACUGAAGGCACCACACGGGAAGAACGUCAACAGCCCAUUGUGGGACUCUUCCUGAGUGUCAGGCAGCGGAAGUAAAGUCUUUAUCGUCAAAAUGGUAUAACAAUAAAACGUAUAUCCAUCAUAUAUCAUAUUCAUAUAUCAAUCGACCUUAUAUAACUAUAUUUGACAUUCCACAAGCAAUUGAAUGUACUUGCAAUCCACUGCCCAUUAUCUAAACUUUGUGUUCUUGUUCUUAAUGUAUCUUUAGACAGCAGCAAGCUUCGCCACUGCCUUCGUAGGAAGCUGGGAGAGGACAAGAAGGUGCUUCUUCAGGAGAUGCAGACAUACAAUGCCUCUGCUCUAUCAGAGACUGAAAAAAUGGAUGUGGCUGUUGUGGAGCAUGCAUUGACUGGAGAGUGCACUGUGUCCCCUUUGUGGCCAUGGGAGGAUCAUGGCAUGGCAAACAUCACAAUCAAGAAGAGGGUGUAUGACCAAGUGAUGCUCACCAUGAGACUGCAAGAGGAGAAAAGCAUUUUGGUGUUGGAGAUGGUACAACAUUGCACAUGGUUGCAGAAGAAGGCAGAUGAACUUCGAAACAAGGUGGCUGAGAAUGGCAAGACCGACGAAGGACUUUGCUGUCUCUUUAAAGGACAACUUUCAGAGGUGUCAGAGCAGUUGCAAGUAGUCAUGCACCAGUACAAGACUGCUUUAGGCCCUGAGGCCUCUGCCCUUCAAAUGGAGGAGGAGGAGGAGGAUCAAAGGGCCCUCAGCAGUCCAGACAGCAGUGAAGAUGAAGACAUCGCCGAUUAGGUAAUUUACUCAUGUGUGUACCGUAUACUUGCGUUUUAUACCUGUGACUUUUCUAUACUUUCUUUUUUCCAGAUAACAGACUGCGGUGAAGGGCAUGGACUUGGCAUGUUUUGUUUGAUGUAGGACAGUAGUAGCUCAGGGGGUAGAGUUUUUUUUCAGCAUACAGAAAGUUGGCAAUUCAAUCCCGCCCUAUCCUAGUUCUGUCCACCAUGUCCCACAACACUGAACCCACAUUGUUCCCAGUGAGUCCUCCAUAGUGAUGAUGAUGAAUGAUCAAGUUUGCUCAAGGAUGCCUUUGAGUUCCACUUGGGAGUGAAGAAUGGUGUCCAAGCUCCUGCUGUGCUCCAGGUCCCCUAGCCAGGGGAUUAACUUACCUCUAUAGUCUGUACAGUGUUCAGAAAUAAACUCAUCAAUGGAGGGCUUGCAUUGUUUGUGUUUACUUUGAGACUUGUUGGAUAUCAAGUGUCUCUUAAAAUGUGCACUGUUUAGGAAUGGGGCCUUAACCUAUGGCUUGUACAAUAAAUAUGCAUCAGCAAUAAA